rnacentral:rRNA from 1 species
AGAACGAACGCUGGCGGCAGGCCUAACACAUGCAAGUCGAACGCCCCGCAAGGGGAGUGGCAGACGGGUGAGUAACGCGUGGGAACAUACCCUUCGGUUCGGAAUAGCUCAGGGAAACUUGGAUUAAUACCGGAUACGUCCGUAAGGAGAAAGAUUUAUCGCCGAAGGAUUGGCCCGCGUCUGAUUAGCUUGUUGGUGAGGUAAUGGCUCACCAAGGCGACGAUCAGUAGCUGGUCUGAGAGGAUGACCAGCCACAUUGGGACUGAGACACGGCCCGAACUCCUACGGGAGGCAGCAGUGGGGAAUAUUGGACAAUGGGCGAAAGCCUGAUCCAGCCAUGCCGCGUGAGUGAUGAAGGCCUUAGGGUUGUAAAGCUCUUUUACCCGGGAAGAUAAUGACGGUACCGGGAGAAUAAGCCCCGGCUAACUUCGUGCCAGCAGCCGCGGUAAUACGAAGGGGGCUAGCGUUGUUCGGAAUUACUGGGCGUAAAGCGCACGUAGGCGGAUUUUUAAGUCAGGGGUGAAAUCCCGAGGCUCAACCUCGGAACUGCCUUUGAUACUGGGAAUCUUGAGUCCGGGAGAGGUGAGUGGAACUGCGAGUGUAGAGGUGAAAUUCGUAGAUAUUCGCAAGAACACCAGUGGCGAAGGCGGCUCACUGGCCCGGUACUGACGCUGAGGUGCGAAAGCAUGGGGAGCAAACAGGAUUAGAUACCCUGGUAGUCCACGCCGUAAACGAUGGAUGCUAGCCGUUGGGGAGCUUGCUCUUCAGUGGCGCAGCUAACGCUUUAAGCAUCCCGCCUGGGGAGUACGGUCGCAAGAUUAAA